GCCGCAAGGUUAAAACUCAAAUGAAUUGACGGGGGCCCGCACAAGCGGUGGAGCAUGUGGUUUAAUUCGAUGCAACGCGAAGAACCUUACCUGGUCUUGACAUCCACAGAACUUUCCAGAGAUGGAUUGGUGCCUUCGGGAACUGUGAGACAGGUGCUGCAUGGCUGUCGUCAGCUCGUGUUGUGAAAUGUUGGGUUAAGUCCCGCAACGAGCGCAACCCUUAUCCUUUGUUGCCAGCGGUCCGGCCGGGAACUCAAAGGAGACUGCCAGUGAUAAACUGGAGGAAGGUGGGGAUGACGUCAAGUCAUCAUGGCCCUUACGACCAGGGCUACACACGUGCUACAAUGGCGCAUACAAAGAGAAGCGACCUCGCGAGAGCAAGCGGACCUCAUAAAGUGCGUCGUAGUCCGGAUUGGAGUCUGCAACUCGACUCCAUGAAGUCGGAAUCGCUAGUAAUCGUGGAUCAGAAUGCCACGGUGAAUACGUUCCCGGGCCUUGUACACACCGCCCGUCACACCAUGGGAGUGGGUUGCAAAAGAAGUAGGUAGCUUAACCUUCGGGAGGGCGCUUACCACUUUGUGAUUCAUGACUGGGGUGAAGUCGUAACAAGGUAACCGUAGGGGAACCUGCGGUUGGAUCAC
rnacentral:rRNA from 1 species